rnacentral:rRNA from 1 species
UGUCCACUGAACCUUAUCAUUUAGAGGAAGGAGAAGUCRUAACAAGGUUUCCAUAGGUGAUCCURCGGAAGGAUCAUC